AACCACAGCUACAUUCAAUAAUCAUUUGUCAACCUAGAGGAGAACUGAUUUACUGCAUAUAAUUUCAGCUAAAUUUUUAAAGCUAAACUUAAAAAUGUGGAUUAUUGGAUGAAAAUAGUUAACUGCAUCAUAAGACUUUAACAGUGAAAUGAUGACAUAAGGCAACUAGGUGUGUGCUGUCUUUCAAUAAAACUGAAUACUACUGGUCUCUGAUUUGGCCUCUCUGAUGACUCCUGCUGUCUGAAUACUUUAAAAAUCAUUUUGAUGAACUGUAAAACAUGUUCACUGAAGAAGCGAGAUCAGAAAAAUUAACUGUGAUUGAGUUAGGAGAAGCUAAAACUGAUAAAGAACAAGACUGUAGUCUUCAACAUUCAGAAUGUUAUACGGGGGAAAAAGGAAGUGAUUUAGUAACAUAAUAUUAGUGGGGAAAGAAAAUAUUUAAACAGUUUACAAGGAAAUAGCAUAUAGAAAUUUGAGCUGUUUCUUACAUGAAAAUGACAGUUUUAUAAGUGGAAGUUUCCAGGAUGAGGAUAAAGUCCAGAUCAUUUAAUUGUUCAAAAGAGAAAUGAUUCAAAUAUUGGCUUAAUGUCCAUGAACUUAAAUGUCCUUCCUUACACUGAAGUUCUCUGACUAUGUAAAACUUUUUAUAACUACGCCUUUACCAUCUGGAAUGGCUGCCACCCUCAUGUUGAGCCAGCAGAGCCAAUCAAAUUCGGAGGUCUCUGUUCAGAUGGAAAUGUUUUUAGUUAAUUGAAUUUCUUAUUUUGACAGAACAGAUUCCUGUAGUCCUCGUGAUUGUAACGAACCUUCUGUGAUAUUUCUUCUCUUAAAAGAGCUAAGUAAUUUCAGAGUGCUUUGUCUUGUUACCACACUUGCCAUCUAUGGUUCUGUUUUUGUCAUCAAUAUUAGAAGAUCCACAUAUAUGAAGGGGACAUAAGGUGAGUAACUGAAGGUAAAAAAGCAGAAAUCAUGGAUAUAAGUAUUAUAUGCUCCUUUGUUAAUGUCCUGUGGGUAAGUAAAGGAAAAAAAACUGUUUAAAGUCGCAGGAUAGAUACUGUACUUGAAAGGACACAGAUUAGCAUUCUA